UCAUGUAGACAUAUUUCUCCAGUCCUCACUGUUAGGCCUUUGGCUUCAUUCAUACUGGUUACUUUGGUUCUAUUAAUUAAGACAAAGUAGAGUAGGAAACCUCACUCACUGUUAUUUCUCUUGUUCCUCUUGUGUAGCAGGAUUCAGUUCGGUACAACACCGUCGCCAUCAUUGUUGUGAUGAGCGCCUUGGCGCUGCUGCUUCUGUGUGGUGGCGCUGUUCGACACCCGCUACAAAACCAACGAGGGUCAAGGUGGACUUGAAAGAAUACAUGCAGCCACCUUUGUAACGCCAUUGGCUUUGUAGACUUCUUGUACCUUCAGUGUCCAUCUUCCACCUCCCGGUCCAUGCUAAUAACAAUCCUCUUGCAUUUAAAUUUGAGUUUUACCCGGGCUCAAGUGAUAUGCACGUUAUUAAAGGGCGAGAGUGGACAACCUGAUCUGCUUCAGUGGUGACGAAGAAUAAAGGUCUCAAGCUUCUAUUUUAUCCAAUGGCAUUUUCUAUGUUCUUCUUAUAUUGAUGUUCAGGCCAGAUCCCACCAGACUUUGCUUUACUUUGUAGUUAUCAUGAGAGAGAUGAUCGAGUUGGGCUCGGACGUUGCUGGCCGCCGGCUUGGUCUGCAAGAGGACUUUCCCCUGCCGCGGCAGGCCAUGGAGAGAGGUGACCAAGUGAUUGACUCUAGGGCCGCCGUGGUGGUGCUCGUGGUGCCCGACGCCUGCUGCAGCUCAAUGAGAACACAAUGAGAGUCAUCAUUCUCUCUGACACCGCUGUUCAAGACAACCGGACCUGUCCACCGCGCAUGCCCAUUACCGGUGUAUGAACAUUGCAUCCUUUAAUUUACCCUGUAUAUGAACAUUCCAUUCUUCAAAUGUGUUGUACUGUCAUUCUGGUGGCU